CCGUGUUUAUUUUACCUUGUUGCUUCGGCGGGCCCGCCUUAACUGGCCGCCGGGGGGCUUACGCCCCCGGGCCCGCGCCCGCCGAAGACACCCUCGAACUCUGUCUGAAGAUUGUAGUCUGAGUGAAAAUAUAAAUUAUUUAAAACUUUCAACAACGGAUCUCUUGGUUCCGGCAUCGAUGAAGAACGCAGCGAAAUGCGAUACGUAAUGUGAAUUGCAAAUUCAGUGAAUCAUCGAGUCUUUGAACGCACAUUGCGCCCCCUGGUAUUCCGGGGGGCAUGCCUGUCCGAGCGUCAUUUCUGCCCUCAAGCACGGCUUGUGUGUUGGGCCCCGUCCUCCGAUCCCGGGGGACGGGCCCGAAAGGCAGCGGCGGCACCGCGUCCGGUCCUCGAGCGUAUGGGGCUUUGUCACCCGCUCUGUAGGCCCGGCCGGCGCUUGCCGAUCAACCCAAAUUUUUAUCCAGGUUGACCUCGGAUCAGGUAGGGAUACCCGCUGAACUUAAGCAU
rnacentral:rRNA from 2 species